UCAAACUUCAUUUUAAGAAGUAAUGCACGCAAAUAUAAGAUCAUACAACAUAUAUUGAGCUUCCAAAAUGCAAAUCAUCAUUGAUUGAAUCAUUGUUGAGCUAUUAGUUGCAUAUCCACUCUUAAAGAGAGUUUUUGUUGUAAUUUUCAUUUCUUAUCAAAUUGUGAGUGUGUAAGUGUGGGAAACACUUGGGGUGAAGAGAUUGGGG
rnacentral:lncRNA from 1 species